CAUUGAGGCGAGCGCGUGCUCCGCCGAGCACAUGGGCGCUCCGCGCUGCUUUGCCUUUUUUAUUUUCCUUUGCAGCGCUCUGUGGCUUAUUUUUAUUUCUUUUAUUUAUUUAUUUAUUUAUUUUGCUCCCGGCCCUCCGGACCCCUUUCUCAGAGAGAGGUGCUCCCUCUGUCACCUCAGGUAGCGGAAGGACUGCUUAAAUCUUUGUGCCAGAGACUAGAGGAGUUUUCUGCAAGGAAAUGGAGCUCUGCUCUCUGAGGGUCCAGGUUCACAUGGAGGGACUGGGCAUCCCAGGGUGAUAAGGACCACCACAAAACUCAUCAUAUUCUGCUCCAAGUGCAAGUCACUGGGAGUGCCAUGGCAGCAGCAGCCCUUGAGAUAAUGAUUUCAUCACGACAGAACAUAAUGUCAGGACAGCCCAUACCAAGGGGAGGGUGCGACUGGAGCUCUGACGAGAUGGUGGCUGGCUGAGAGGAGUUCGUGCUGAGAGGUCCCAGCCCCGUGCUUUCCACCAUUCUGGAAUAACAUCUGAAGGAGCACAGCAGCACAGUCCUUUCCAUAGCUUCCAAGGAUUUUUAGGAUCAUGGGAUUUAUGGACCCACAAAACCCUCUGAAGAACAUCAGCUGCAGACGAAAGCAUUGGGAAAUUCCUACUGUCUUCUUGCCCUUUGUUUUUUCCUUGGUCACCGAAUUUGGGAAGGAAGCAUGUCUGUCCUGAGGAUUAUAGCAGAGCAGUUACUCGCCGCCCUUACUGGAAUACGGUUUCUCAAGACGGAGCGAUUAUUGUGCAAGGCAGAAGGAUAUUUUUUCCCUUUCGCAGAGCUGUUCUGGUGCAGCAGUCAUCAUGUCCAGCAGGUCUCGCUUGACUGCGAAAAGGAGAAAGGAGGAGCAUGAGCAGGGAGCUCAGGUCCUGCCAGGGCUUCCUGGGAAAUGAGGAGAAAUGAAGAGGGUAAGAUAACCAAGGUCAGCACCUCACUUCAAGCUGCCAGUUGGGCUCCUCGUGGGGAAGAGAACUGCGUGUUUUUAAGAAAAUCACACUUCAGCAGAAGGCUGCCUUCAACAACACGCUAGAGCACUGUGUGAUGCCAAGGAAAUCAUUUGCUGCAGAGCCCCAAUAUUGCAAUCCUUGUUUUUCCUGGGAUAUCUCCCAUGGACCUUCUGGCUGAUUUUUCUCUCAUGAGAUCCAACUUGAUCAUCGUCUGUUGUGCUUCAUUUAUGCAGAAGACAGCAGAAAGCCACAAAACUAGAGCCUCAGUAAUUUCUUUACACCCACCAUUUCCCAGCGCCCUGGAUUGGAAACCAACCUCGGCAGCUGCCGACUGUCUCAUCUUUCCUCCGUGUGAACCUGCUUCUAGGGAGCCAGCCGAGAGCUGCAACACUUCCCCCUUCCAUCUCCUUCACAGAUCUGGCUUUCACGACCAUUACAACCAGUUCCUGCCCACAGGAUGGCCCAGCAGCGUGCCUUUGAUCCAGAUCAGACGUGGGCUUCUCCGUGGGAUGGGUGCCCAUCAAGUCCAACCAUCAACCUGACCUACCAAGUCCCCCGUGUAGCAGCGUGCCCUGACUCGUCCCUGCUGAAACUGCCCCACUCCCUGCCCGGGGGCUCUGCUUUUCUGGGUGCCUGUUUGGGGCCAUUGCUGAUUCCCGGUGAAGUCUUUCCACCAAUUCUGUCUUGCGCCCUACAUCCCUGUGUUUGUGCCCUACAGCUGCAGCCACCACAUCGUCCACGGCAGCUCAUCUGGGGUGGGACGUACAGCAUGGUGAGAUGAGUUGGGCACUGGUCCCAGUGAAGUGUAGUCUGAGAUUGGAGCUAGGAAAGCAACACCUGUAAUUUUGGUUGUAAUUUGGACAAUGUCAGAGCCCUUUCUGGCAAAGAGCAUUUCAAUGUUUUAACAAACAGAAGAGGAAGGGGAAUAUGGAGCUUGGAAGGAGUCUCCUGCUGCACUUUUUUAGGAGUAAUGGGUGCUCCUGGCUGCCCUGCACCUGUGACAUGAAGGGGGUGAGAGCAGCUCUCUUGUCUGUUCACUCGCUUUUCUUUCCCACUUAUGUGGUCUGUGCAAUUUUGAAAGCAUUUUGUGUGUAUUUUUUUCCUCUAUUCCUAGACUAAGUGGGUGUCUUCUCUUUUUUUCUUAGCUGGUUCAUUCAUGCAGAAGUAGGGAAUAGUGAAAUAUUAUGGUUUUUUCCUUCUGAAAAGAGAUAAAUGUGUUUGGUAGUGAGAACAGCUUUUGGUAGUUGUCUGAGGCAGCUUGAAAUUCUUAAGGAAAAUCAUAAUUGUUCCAUUAGGACAAGAUGCUUACAAGCAUCUUGCUGAACAGGCCAAGAAGCUCCAAACAAAACCAAAACAGAGACAAACACCAUUCUUUCCAGCUAUGAAAUUUGCAUCUGAUUUGGAGUUUUGGUUAUAAGCAGUUUCCCAGAAAAACAAAAUGAGCCUCUUAUACAUACAUUAUGCCUUCCCUUCCUCCUCCUUCUCCUCCUUCUGCUGCUCAUUGCCUGUGUGCUGGGCUGUCACCCUUCUGCCACCAACAAGGACAGCACCACUGGUGACCUCUGUCCUUGCACUGACUGCAGCACUCAUCCAGCCACAGCUCACUGUGCUGUUAGAAAGGGGAGAUGGGGAGAGGCUACCGGAUUUUUGGCUGUGUUGAGUUGCUAGACUCAUGCCGUGUUGUUGUGUUGUGGAACUGAACUAUGAGUUUCAGCCCAUUCUGCCUCACCCUUUGGGAUUGCAUCCAUGUGAUUUAUAGGAUGAAAAAGUGUUUUUUUCUUUGUUUUUUUUUUCCCUCUCCAACUGUGUCAGGAGUUCUGAGGUAUAGAAGGUCAUUAAUUUUCUUAUUUUCUCCCUCAAACUAUAUUGAAACUAAUUCCAGGCCUCCAUAAAUAAAUACAGCAUAGGGCAAAAUUUUAUUUCAACAGAAGGGAAAAGUCCGGUACGCCAUCAGCUCCUUCUAUUUCAGCGCGUGGUUGUCUUGUCACCCACCUACACCUAGAAAUAUGCUUUAUUCUUGUGUGUUUACAGAGGCAUUCGAGCUCAACGUGAUCGAGCCUGGUGGUUGCUGGGAUGGUUCGUCAGGCACUUCCAGGUGCCAUCUGUACACAAGGAUGUUGGUGAUGUGGCAAAUGGCUGUUUUCACAUGGCUGUUGGACUGGCCUUUUGAUGAUUACCUAGGAUCUUAAAGCCUUUGUACAUUCAUAUUUAUCUUUGUGUUGGCUGCAUUUCAACUCACUUUCUUCCCUGUGAACAAGUUCUAUUCUGUUGAAUAAACCGUUCCUCGCAAACCA